rnacentral:rRNA from 1 species
CCUACGGGGGGCUGCAGUGGGGAAUUUUGGACAAUGGGGGAAACCCUGAUCCAGCAAUGCCGCGUGAGUGAAGAAGGCCUUCGGGUUGUAAAGCUCUUUCAGUUGAGAAGAAAAGAUUGUGACUAAUAAUCAUAAUUAAUGACGGUAUCAACAGAAGAAGCACCGGCUAACUACGUGCCAGCAGCCGCGGUAAUACGUAGGGUGCGAGCGUUAAUCGGAAUUACUGGGCGUAAAGGGUGCGCAGGCGGUUAUGUAAGUCAGAUGUGAAAUCCCCGGGCUUAACCUGGGAAUUGCGUUUGAAACUACAUGACUAGAGUGUAACAGAGGGAAGUGGAAUUCCAUGUGUAGCAGUGAAAUGCGUAGAGAUAUGGAGGAACAUCGAUGGCGAAGGCAGCUUCCUGGGUUAACACUGACGCUCAUGCACGAAAGCGUGGGGAGCAAACAGGAUUAGAUACCCGGGUAGUC